GCGCAGCAGGCGCGAAUCUUUAUAAUGCGCGCAAGCGUGAUAGAGGGAUCUUGAGUGUUUCACUUUUGUGAAACUUUGCUAUCCUUAAAUAAGAUAGCGAAUAAGGACUGGGUAAGACUGGUGCCAGCAGCCGCGGUAAUACCAGCGGUCCGAGUGGGACUCACUUUUAUUGGGUCUAAAACAUCCGUAGCCGGUCUUGCAAGUUUCUUGUUAAAUUUUGGGCUUAACCCAAAGCUGCAAGAAUACUGCAAGGCUAGAGACUGGGAGACGUAGUGAGUACGGCAAGGGUAGUAGUAAAAUACGUUAAUCCUUGCUGGACUAACGAUGGCGAAGGCACACUACGAGAACAGCUCUGACGGUCAGGGAUGAAAAGCGAGGGGCGCAAAAACGGAUUAGAUACCCCGGUAGU
rnacentral:rRNA from 1 species